AGCGUAGGUGGCCUAACAUGUCAACUGUGAAAACCCGGAGCUCAACUCCGGACUUGCAGUUGAAACUGGUAGGCUUGAGGACGGUAGAGGAAGACGGAACUGCCAGUGUAGGGGUAAAAUCCUUAGAUAUUGGCAGGAACGCCGGUGACCGAAGGUGGUUUUCUGGGCCGGUUCUGACACUGAUGCUCGAAAGCCAGGGGAGCGAACGG
rnacentral:rRNA from 1 species